GCAGGAGCAGCAGCAGCUGCGCAGGGCACCAGGAAAUGUGGUGCCCCAAAUUCCCUGGUGCCCUACGCAGCUGCGUACUUUGCGUAUAGGUAGGGAUGGCCCUGGCUCCAAGGCCCCACCCCAGCUCGGCCUCUUCCCCUUAAGGUCCUGCCUGCUACGCACACAUGGGGGAGGGGGUGGAGAGGAGCGAGGUGGGGAGGCGUCAGAGAGCAGCGAGUGGCGGGUAGGGGCUCAGGGGGAAGAGGCCGUGAAGGGGCCUCAGGGAAGAGCGCAGGCGGAGCAGGGGGGUGAGGCCACGGUGUGGGCGCCGGGGCCCCUUUUGAGUGUGGGCUUGGCACCAGUGGCGCCAUUGUAAAGCUGGUACUGCUGGGAGGAGGAGGCUGCAGGGAAAAGCUCCAGCAGCUCUCCGCUGCUGGAACAUUUCCCUCCUUCCUCCCCAGGCCAGAGCCUUUCACUGACACAUGUCACUAUAUACCACAGUAUGGCUGCAGCUUGCUUUUCACUGUGGCAUGUAGCUACACGUACCCUACAUGGUGCCACCAGUGGUGUGCUGGGUAAACAUACAGUGACUUAUAUGGAGUUCUAGACUCCUCAUCCCCUUGUGGGGCAGUGGAAGGCACCUCCAAGCACAUAGUUGAUGUGAAUUGCAAGGAAAUCUCUGGGUCUCUCAGCAACUACGCGGCUAGUAGAGUUGAGCGAAAUUUGGGGGAAACUGACAUUUCAGCAUUUGUUUUCAUCUCAAAACAGUUGACAUUUCAAAACUUUUUGUGGAAUGGAAAUUCUGAAACAUUACAGUUCAGAGAUGUUGAUACAUUUUGUUUUGACAUUUUUGAUCAACACAAAACAUUUCAGCAUUCACAAUAUUAAAAUGUUUUGUUUCACUUUAUUGAAAUGUCCCAAAAUGCUUUGUUUUGAGUCAUUUCAACAUUGAAUUUGCAUUUCCUUAUGGUGCAUUAUGGGAGUUGUGAUCCCAGCCCCCAUUCUUUUCUGUGGGCCGGGCUCCGUGGUCAAACUACAUCUCCCAUCAUGCACCAUUUAGCUCCACCAGAAAGAAAUCAGUGUGUUGCCUUAUAGGAGAUAUAGUCCUCCUGGGAGUUUGGCCCACAGGAGAAAAUGUGGGCUGGAACUACAACUCCCACAGAGAAUUGCAGUUGAAUAUUUUAUGAAACUAAUUUAAAGAAGAUAUGUCAGGUCAAUUCAAAAAUGAAAUAUGCUGAUUGGGGUCAAAUUGACCUGAUAUGAAAUAUUUCAUUUUGAUUUUCCUGAAGGAAAAUCAUAUAUUUUUGGCAAAAUCAAAAUUUUCCCAUAGAAAAGGUCAAUUUUCUGGAAACUGCAUUUUCCUUUGGAAUAUCAUUCUUAUGGAAAAUUCCUGACCACAUCUAAUGGCAAGCUUUUUGACUUUGCCAUAGGCUAUCUUGGAACAUAGCUCACUGAGGAGUUGUGCUAUGAUUGGUAGACCUGCCCUUCCUUGUAGGGUUAGUGCUGAAACUCUCAGUAUUAUUUUCCUCUGGAUUUUCCACUGGAAGGUCUGUGUGUUUGCUGGAGGAUGAUACAGUACAGACCAACUGUCCUCCAGCUCAACCCACCCUCUGGACUGACAUGACACUCCCAAUAUAUAGAGCUACAACCAUACAAUGUUCAUGACUCUGAACUUCCACCACUGUUGCGUUUGUCUUAUUUGGCUAGUAUAUUCAGAAGAUUCAUUUCCUCUGUGCAAUGCAGCAAAGAGCUGAUAUGGUCUUAGUUUUAUGACAUCACACCCAUGAAUUACAACUUUUGAUCGAGGAGAAUAGUGCAAAAGAAGUAAUUCUAAAAUCCAUUUGCCCUCUGGACAUGGCUUCUCUUAUGAUUAUUCACACCAGCUUCAUCUUCUUUGAUUCCUAUCUGUCAGAUCAACAGCUGUGGUGGGGCCAAAUUAAGUUUUUUCCACCACUUUCUAUCUUGUAUCAGCUUCAUAGCUUCAUUCAUCUUUAAAUCUUUUUGUUCUUUUCAUUCUUCUCUGAAUCCAACGCAUCCCCAGUCUUCCUCUGUUUCUAAUUCCUUGCACUCUGGUAUGUAUUGUCAUGUAUGGUAUCCUUUCUGGGUCCAUUUAUGACACUCUGCUAUCUUCCUUGAAUCUUCCGUAAAAGUGUUAUUUGCUGCCCUAGCUGUUUUCUUAUCCCUUCUUUUUUAUUUUCUGCAGUCUUGAUACUCUCAGUAUUCCCUUCUGCCAGUUCAUUUCUGCAGUCAAAAUCUUUCGUUCAUUGCCUUUCUUCAUAGUCCAGCAUUUCAACCCAUACAGCAGUAUUGAUAUGAAUGUUGUCUCAAAUACGGUACACUGAUUCUUGUGUUUAUCAAAAUGUCUAUAGCCUUCCAGAUCUUGGCUAGCACCUAGUACGAUUCUUCUUUUCAUGUAAUCUUCACAAUUCCCAUUCUUUGAUAUUAGUCCUCCAAGGUACACACAAUUUUCCACUUGAUCUAGUUCUUUGCCUCCAAGUUUUAUCUUUUUGCCUCUUUCUCUUGUCUUCCAAUUUCCUUAAUUUUUGUCUUCUCCAUGCUAUUCUUCACUCCUAAUUUUCUGCUUUCCGAGUCUGCGAUAUCAAUUAUUCUCUGUAAAUCCUCCUUGGUCAAUGCUGUGACAUCAAUAUCAUCUGCAAAUCUAAGGUUAUGCAUUGUCCUACCACAUAGCGUGACUCCUCUCAUUUCAUCUCACAGUGCUGCAGACAUUAUUGCUUCCAGAACCAAGAUGAACAAAUGUGAUGAUAGUGUGCAUCCUUGUCUCACUUCUACAGUCCUGAACCAUUCUGUCAGCUUCUUUUCUACUCUUAUGGCACUCAUUGACUUGCUAUAGAUGUUUUCUAUCAGCUUGAUCAAUUUUGGGAGGAUACCAUAUGUUCUCAGAACUAGCCAUAACCCUUUCUGCCAAAUGCUAUCAAAAGCCUGUUUGAAGUCUGUAAGGUUGUAAUAGCUUUGGCUGUGUUCUGUGUACUUCUCUGAUAUCUGUCUUAUCACAAAUAAUUGAUCUUUAUAUUUCAUCCUGGUCUAAAUCCAGCCUGGUUUUGUGUCAAAGGAACACACCCAGAUUCAUUUUUAAUUCUUAUCUAAAAGCUUUAUGGUAGUCUUUCUUGCUCCUGAUCAAACUUUUAAAUGAAAACAAAUAUCUUUUAAAAAUAAUGCUGUUACCUCAUCUCAUUUGAGGUUGGGCCUCAACUUUGCUUCCAGCUGGGUGGAGGAUCUGUUUUAAUGGUGUGGCCUCAGCGAUUAAUAAACAUAGUUGGAUUCUCUUAUUAGUGGUACAUUUUCAGAAAUGAUUGAGUGGAACUGGUCAGCUGUUUCACCAGUAAACCACUCUGGAUAUCUAACUGAACAUCUUGAUUAUCUUUUGUCCUUAGUAAUAUAUUGGCUCCUUAAUGUCCCCUUUUUCUCUGCCAUCUUUGAAGGUCACUUUGGUAGGUAGAUGAUCCACACCGGAGGAAGCUGGAAAGGAGGAAGCUAAAGAACAGAUGAUGGACAUUGCAUUCUGAAUCUGACUGGUUGCAGCAUAAAGAAUUUUUGGAAUCUUGUGCCAGAGCAGUGAUAGAAGCAGAGAAAAGAUGAUUUUCCUCUGUCACAUCAGGCCUGAAGUUCCCAGAAAUUGAACUGUUCUGGGCGGCAGACAGUUUGGUGCAUCCGAACGGUCCCGCCUAAGACAGUGUCAGAUAUUUCUUGCUGCAAGGAGUUAUCAGUCUGCUUUAUGAACAGGAUGGCUUGGACUUGAGCCAGAUUUGCUUAUUCCAUGAAGACAGAUAUAUGCCACUUCUGAACUGAAUUCAGGCUGUUUUUCUUAUUGAGGUACUAGAGGUGGAUUUGGACCAAUGGAGCCUGGUUGGCUGGUAAAAUCAUGCAUGGGGAACUGAAGUGGACUUUUAGUAGACUGUUAACACCUCUUGGAAGCACAAUUGUAUCACUCAAAUUGUUGUUGACUAUGAUAAACUCAACAAUUAUUUUCUGUCUCUAUGGUCGUAGAUUGUUGAGUUUAUGGUGAAGCAGUGCUGGCACUUUCUUUACUUUUUAGAUUUCUUUUGACCCUUUGCAAUGUGGUUCUUCGCCGGGAUAUAGUGCACAGACUGUUGAUCUCAUUGGCCAAUUAACUCCUUUUUGGAACUGUACAAAGAUCAAGUGUCCACACUGAUUGUGUUAGAACCAUUAGCUGCCUUGGAUACUGUUGAAAAUGUGUUGUUGACACGUUUGUGGACUCUGGCAUGGAUACACAAGGUUGCUUUUAAUUGGUUCUAUUCGUUUCUCCCUUCAAGGACCUAGAGGUUUUGCCUUGAGGGCUCUGUUGUAAGGCAUUCCAUAGGCUGCUAGUGGGACAUAUAUCAGGUCACCAGCAGAGAUAGUGAGACAUUUUGGGCUGCAGUGCUGCCAGUAGGCUGAUAAAAGUCAACUGUGCAUCUGUUUUAGAUCCAGGAGGUAUAGACAUACCAGCAUUCCCAUAGUCUGUCUGAGCUAGAGGGUUGGAUGAUGAAAGUAAAAUGACUGACACUCAAUUCAGCUUGCAGUAGGUUGUGACAAUGGAGGUAAGGUUGAAGAACUUGAGGAGGAGGAUACUAAGGCCUGAAGUGGAAGAACCUCUUGCAUGAAGCUGCAAGCAGUUUUUCCAGCGACAUUUUGACAGACUCUUCUGCCUCAGUGACGACGUAAGAAAUAUCAAGGAAGGCAAAAUACAAUAUAAGCUCCUGAAAGCCUUGAGAUAGGUUUACAGCAUGGUAAGUAUUUAACCAUGUGACUCACUAAUAUCAAAGGGACAGUUUAAAAGUCACUUAUGGUCUGGAUUAUUUUUACCUGCUAUUGUUACAUGCAACAGCUAAGAUUAUUGUAAAUGAAAGAUAUUAGAGAAAAACACUUUUUUCUCUUGAUUUUUUAAGUCUGUUUACUUUUGUGCACUUGACAGCACUUUGGACAUAAUAUGAAGUGCAUUGAAGUCAUUUGGAGUUGACUCCAGAGGAUUUGGGACUAGGCCCUUUGGGUAGAGUCGAUUUCACUCUUUCCCCUUUAUUGUCAGUUGCUUUCCUGUAUUGUUUGUGUGGGUCUUUCACACAGCAGGGGAGAGAGAAACUCUUUAAAAAUAGGACAGUAGGAUUUGUAAAACCACAAUUGUCAGGGUGAUUCAGGGUAGUCCCUGAAACUGCUUUUAAGUUUGUUUGUUUUUAAAUGACUAUGUUCUGAGCUGACAGUGUCUCUUUGGUGUAAAUGAAGAGGGAGAGUUCUCCGAAAUGUGCACAGAUGGGUGUAUCAUGGCUAAAACCCUGCAUCUCAGACAUUGAGCAUAGUCCUACUAUUUUUCUAAGGGAGUUGGAGGAAUUAAUAUGAAAAGAACACAAACCAACAGUGUACAGUUAGAAGCAGUAUUCAGUUUUUGCUUGGGAAAAAGAGAGGGUGGGGUGGAAUAAGUUUAGGCAUUUUGUAUAUAAAAGUUAGCUCACCUCAGAUAAUGCUACCUGUACACUAGUGUUUGAGACUCGCCCUUUCCCUAGUAUAGUCUCAGUUCUGCAAAGACUUCUGUACAAGAGUGACUAAGGUACGCCCACUCUGCUCACUUCUUUUGGAGGAGUGUAGGGUACAUACAUGGGUAGACCCCCUACCACAGAUAUAAAGAGGAGUGUAGAUGGUGAGGCACUGCUUAGGUGAGUAGAGUAAAGAUGUGCCUGAAUCCUAUGGGGAUGUAUCCAGGUAUAUACCUUACAUGGCUCUCUAUUCGCCCAAGCAGUGCCUCCUUGUCUACUCUGCUAUUUUUAGCAGUCCCGCUGCUUCCCCAUUGCUGGAGCCCUUCCCCGCUGCCUCCCCGGUGGCAGAGCUUUUCACUGACACAUGUAGCUACACACUGUAGUGUGGAUGCAGCUUGCUUUUCACUGUGGCAUAUAGCUACACGUUGCCUGGAUGCCACCAAUGCUGAUAUGCUGUCGUGCGAGUAGUGCCACAGAGCUCAAUGGGAUCAGGGCUUAAAUGUCCAGAUUUUGGAAUAGGAAUGCAUAACUGAUUCUGAUCAAACCUUAGACAUCGAUCCUGCAACUUAUUUCAUGCUGGUGGGCCCCUGCACCUGUGCAAUGCUCCAUUGACUUCAUUUGGGCUCGGAGCAGGUGCAGGGGUCUGCCCACACUUAGAUGUGCUGAAGUAACAAAUAGAGGGAUCCACGUGCUCAGAAUCAGUUGCAGGAUCAGGAUCUAACCUUGAAUACAGGAAAGGGGAGACGUUUAAUGUGCACAUUCCUGAAGAAUUACUCUUCCUCUUCUCCAUCUCACCACAUAAUAUUGAAUCCAUUGUACCCCUCCUCCUCAGACACCCCAAAAUGAUCUGCAUCCGUCAGUUUUGUUUCCACAUAUAAGUGGAACAAAUUCUUGCAAUUUCUUCACGUAUAUAUCACUCCCUCUUUUGCUGUUGCUCUGUUUGAGUAAAGGGAUUGAGAGUCACAGCAGUGACUCAAGCCAAAUUAGAAAUAGCACUAUUCUUACAGGACCAAAAAUGAUAGGUAAUCUUUGGUAUUGUCCUCACAGUAUAUUGUACUCUUUAUUCUUGUGUUUCUCCACUGACCUCUUCAUCCUAACUUCACAUUAAAAAAGAUAUUUAAA